rnacentral:rRNA from 1 species
AUGGACUGCAUUGGUGCCAAGUAUGCAUCAUUUAUUUUUCUGACAAUUCUAAGCCAGCGCAAGAAGAAAACAAAGUAUUAUCACAUGCCAUUGAGGAUGAUCAGGAGUACUAGCGCCCUGUCCGUCCAUGCUCCCCAUCACCGCCGUUGCCGCUGCCAUUGCUAA